UGGGGGAUAUUGCACAAUGGGCGAAAGCCCGAUGCAGCGACGCCGCGUGAGGGAAGACGGUUUUCGGAUUGUAAACCUCUGUCUUCGGGGACGAAAAUGACGGUACCCGAGGAGGAAGCCACGGCUAACUACGUGCCAGCAGCCGCGGUAAUACGUAGGUGGCGAGCGUUGUCCGGAAUUACUGGGUGUAAAGGGAGUGUAGGCGGGAGAGCAAGUCAGAAGUGAAAAUUAUGGGCUUAACCCAUAACCUGCUUUUGAAACUGUUCUUCUUGAGUGAAGUAGAGGCAAGCGGAAUUCCUAGUGUAGCGGUGAAAUGCAUAGAUAUUAGGAGGAACACCAGUGGCGAA
rnacentral:rRNA from 1 species